UUAAAAGCUGAGAAAGAGAGAGUAGCUUAGACUUUCUAUUACAGGAAAUAACCGUCUUAACUGAGAGCGGUUUAAUAGCAAAGCUGGGUGAAGUUCACUCUGGAGCUGAAAACUGAAUUGAGUAGGUUUUUCCGGAAGUUAUUAAAACUUCCGUUAACAAAACAAAGUGAUUCCAUUAGUUUAAAAUGGAGUAAACAGGGUGGUAACACGGUUAUCUCGUCCCUUUU
rnacentral:ncRNA from 1 species